GAUGAACGCUGGCGGCGUGCCUAAUACAUGCAAGUCGAGCGAACAGACGAGGAGCUUGCUCCUCUGACGUGAGCGGCGGACGGGUGAGAAACACGUGGAUAACCUACCUAUAAGACUGGGAUCACUUCGGGAAAGCGGAGCUAACACCGGAUAAUAUAUUGAACCGCAUGGUGCAAUAGUGAAAGACGGCUUUGCUGUCACUUCUAGAUGGAUCCGCGCCGCAUUAGCUAGUUGGUAAGGAAAAGGGCUACCAAGGCAACGAUGCGUGGCCGACCUGAGAGGGUGGUCGGCCACACUGGAACUGAGACACGGUCCAGACUACUACGGGAGGGCGCAGUAGGGAAUCUGCCGCAAUGGGCGAAAGCCUGACGGAGCAACGCCGCGUGAGUGAUGAAGGUCUUCGGAUCGUAAAACUCUGUUAUUAGGGAAGAACAAAUGUGUAAGUAACUAUGCACGUCUUGACGGUACCUAAUCAGAAAGCCACGGCUAACUACGUG
rnacentral:rRNA from 1 species